rnacentral:rRNA from 1 species
AGAGUUUGAUCAUGGCUCAGAACGAACGCUGGCGGCGUGCUUAACACAUGCAAGUCGAGUGCGCGGUUGUAGCAAUACAACUGGCGCACGGCGCACGGGUGCGUAACACGUGGGUAACCUGCCCUUUGGUGGGGAAUAACUCCGCGAAAGCGGAGCUAAUUCCGCAUAAGAUCCGCAAGGAUGAAAGCCGCAAGGCGCCGAUGGAGGGGCCCGCGCCCGAUUAGCUAGUUGGUAGGGUAAUGGCCUACCAAGGCUUUGAUCGGUAGCUGGUCUGAGAGGAUGAUCAGCCACACUGGAACUGAGACACGGUCCAGACUCCUACGGGAGGCAGCAGUGGGGAAUCUUGCACAAUGGGCGAAAGCCUGACGCAGCGACGCCGCGUGGGGGAUGAAGCAUUUCGGUGUGUAAACCCCUUUCGAUCCGGACGAAACCCCGCAAGGGAUUGACGGUACGGAUAUAAGAAGCCCCGGCUAACUACGUGCCAGCAGCCGCGGUAAGACGUAGGGGGCCAGCGUUGUUCGGAAUUACUGGGUGUAAAGGGUUCGUAGGCGGUGCGGCAAGUUGGGAGUGAAAUCUCUGGGCUUAACCCAGAGGCUGCUUCCAAAACUGCUGUGCUUGAGUGUGGGAGAGGCGCGUGGAAUUGCAGGUGUAGCGGUGAAAUGCGUAGAUAUCUGCAGGAACACCCGUGGCGAAAGCGGCGCGCUGGACCACUACUGACGCUGAGGAACGAAAGCUAGGGGAGCAAACAGGAUUAGAUACCCUGGUAGUCCUAGCCCUAAACGAUCAGGACUUGGGGUGCCACCCGUUCGGGUGUCGUCCCGGAGCUAACGCGUUAAGUCCUGCACCUGGGGAGUACGGUCGCAAGACUGAAACUCAAAGGAAUUGACGGGGGCCCGCACAAGCGGUGGAACAUGUGGUUCAUUCGACGCUUACGCGAGGAACCUUACCUG